GCUUUGAUAGUUUAGUGCCAGAGCGGUGGGGCGUUUACCCAUGCGGCCCGGGUUUGAUCCCCGGUCGAUGCA